GCAAGUCGAGCGGGCGUAGCAAUACGUCAGCGGCAGACGGGUGAGUAACGCGUGGGAACAUACCUUUUGGUUCGGAACAACACAGGGAAACUUGUGCUAAUACCGGAUAAGCCCUUACGGGGAAAGAUUUAUCGCCGAAAGAUUGGCCCGCGUCUGAUUAGCUAGUUGGUGAGGUAACGGCUCACCAAGGCGACGAUCAGUAGCUGGUCUGAGAGGAUGAUCAGCCACAUUGGGACUGAGACACGGCCCAAACUCCUACGGGAGGCAGCAGUGGGGAAUAUUGGACAAUGGGCGAAAGCCUGAUCCAGCCAUGCCGCGUGAGUGAUGAAGGCCCUAGGGUUGUAAAGCUCUUUUGUGCGGGAAGAUAAUGACGGUACCGCAAGAAUAAGCCCCGGCUAACUUCGUGCCAGCAGCCGCGGUAAUACGAAGGGGGCUAGCGUUGCUCGGAAUCACUGGGCGUAAAGGGUGCGUAGGCGGGUCUUUAAGUCAGGGGUGAAAUCCUGGAGCUCAACUCCAGAACUGCCUUUGAUACUGAGGAUCUUGAGUACGGGAGAGGUGAGUGGAACUGCGAGUGUAGAGGUGAAAUUCGUAGAUAUUCGCAAGAACACCAGUGGCGAAGGCGGCUCACUGGCCCGUAACUGACGCUGAGGCACGAAAGCGUGGGGAGCAAACAGGAUUAGAUACCCUAGUAGUCCACGCCGUAAACGAUGAAUGCCAGCCGUUAGUGGGUUUACUCACUAGUGGCGCA
rnacentral:rRNA from 1 species